rnacentral:misc_RNA from 1 species
GAUGAAACGCAGCGAAAUGCGAUAAGUAAUGUGAAUUGCAGAUUUCAGUGAAUCAUCGAAUCUUUGAACGCACCUUGCGCCUUGUGGUAUUCCACAAGGCAUGCCCGUUUGAGUAUCAUUAAAUCAUCAACUCUAAAACCUUUGUGGUUUUUUUAGAGCUUGGUCUUGAGGGUUUUGCAGGCUUUUUUUUUCGAGUCUGCUCCCUUUAAAUGCAUUAGCGAGACUUCCCUAUGCUGAACCGUCUCUUUGACGUGAUAAUUAUCUGCGUCGAAUUUUGGUUCUCGUUGGGCUUGCUUCUAAUCGUCUGUUAAAGACAAAACGGAUUUGGGUGCAUAUAUGCGCCUUUUUCCAAAACCUUUUUUGAUCUCAAAUCGGGUAGGACUACCCGCUGAACUUAAGCAUAUCAAUAAGCGGAGGA